rnacentral:rRNA from 1 species
CCUACGGGUGGCACCAGUGAGGAAUAUUGGUCAAUGGACGCAAGUCUGAACCAGCCACGUCGCGUGAAGGAAGACGGCCCUACGGGUUGUAAACUUCUUUUGUAAGGGAAUAAAGUGAGUCACGCGUGACUUUUUGCAUGUACCUUACGAAUAAGGAUCGGCUAACUCCGUGCCAGCAGCCGCGGUAAUACGGAGGAUCCGAGCGUUAUCCGGAUUUAUUGGGUUUAAAGGGUGCGCAGGCGGGAGAUUAAGUCGGCGGUGAAAUUUUGCAGCUCAACUGUAAAAGUGCCUUCGAAACUGGUUUUCUUGAGUAUGGAUGAAGUAGGCGGAAUUUGUGGUGUAGCGGUGAAAUGCAUAGAUAUCACGAGGAACUCCGAUUGCGCAGGCAGCUUACUAAGCCAUAACUGACGCUCAUGCACGAAGGCGUGGGGAGCAAACAGGAUUAGAUACCCUUGUAGUC